GUUCUUGUAGUUGAAGUACAACAGUGGUUUUUCAUUCCGCCAGUUUUGGUUAGAGUCCAGAUAAGAAUU
rnacentral:tRNA from 2 species